AUGCAAGUCGAGCGAACGGACGAGAAGCUUGCUCCUCUGAUGUUAGCGGCGGACGGGUGAGUAACACGUGGAUAACCUACCUAUAAGACUGGGAUAACUUCGGGAAACCGGAGCUAAUACCGGAUAAUAUUUUGAACCGCAUGGUUCAACAGUGAAAGACGGUCUUGCUGUCACUUAUAGAUGGAUCCGCGCUGCAUUAGCUAGUUGGUAAGGUAACGGCUUACCAAGGCAACGAUGCAUAGCCGACCUGAGAGGGUGAUCGGCCACACUGGAACUGAGACACGGUCCAGACUCCUACGGGAGGCAGCAGUAGGGAAUCUUCCGCAAUGGGCGAAAGCCUGACGGAGCAACGCCGCGUGAGUGAUGAAGGUCUUCGGAUCGUAAAACUCUGUUAUUAGGGAAGAACAUAUGUGUAAGUAACUGUGCACAUCUUGACGGUACCUAAUCAGAA
rnacentral:rRNA from 1 species